CAAUGCAGCAAGGAGCAGCUGGCAAACAAAUUUCUUUAUGCCAUAAAUGCGGAUGCUGGUUUUGAUCUAAGCUAAUGGAUGUUGUUGUUUUACCCUUCUUCUUGUUGAUAUACCUUUCGUAGCAUCCUUUCAUCCCUAAUCUCAUCCUCGACCACAACCACUGCUUUGACCACGAUCGUCUCUCCGAAGAUUUGUGAGACAGUUCCAUUAGGUUAUGGGCACUAAGUGGUGAAACAUUGAUGGAGAUGGUUGGUGACACUUCCAUUGUGUAUUCAGUGGAUUCACAUGCUUCCGAAGUCAUUGUUAGUGGGAGUGAAGAUUGUUCGGCAAAGAUAUGGAAAGAUGGAAUUUGUGUCUAGAGCAUUGAGCAUCCUGGUUGCGUUUGGGAUGCCAAGUUUUUGGAAAAUGGAGAUAUUGUCACAGCUUGUUUAGAUGGAGUAGUACGUGUCUGGACGGCAGAACAGGAAAGAAUUGCUGAUCCCCAAGAAUUGGAGUUAUUUGCUUCAAGACUGUCUCAGUAUAAGUUGAAGAGGUGCCCCACAACAGCUGCCACACACACACACACACACUCACAAAGAGGAAGUUCCAAAAUCCUUUGGAAGAGGGUUGGAGGAUUGAAAUUGGAAGAAUUACCUGGGAUGGAUGCUUUACAAAUUCCAGGCUGUACUGGAGCUUGUCAUAAUCUUCCCAUGUUGCCUCAUGAGGAGGGAGACCUUGCCAUUUAAUCAAAACCUCACAGCUUCCUCUUUUAUUCUUCGAGUACCCAAAUAUUUCCUCCGGUAUAGAUUUACUCGUGAGUUUCAGUAACGUAAGGCAGCAUGUCUGUCUGUACAAGUUGAUGAUCACCAACCAUUUUUUUGAGUUGGGACACAUGAAACACUGGAUGGAUGGAAGCGGAUGCUGGCAACUCUAGCUUAUACGCAACCAGUAUGAUGCGUUCCACAAUCGUAUAAGGCCCAAAGAACUUGGGGGAUAGUUUCUCAUUUUUCUUUUGUCGUAAUGAGAUCUGUCUAUAGGGCCUAAUCUUCAGGAAGACCAUAUCGCCAACUGCAUACUCCACAUCAUGACGCUUCAAGUCUACGUUAUUUUUCAUCUUGUC